UACGAAGGGGGGCUAGCGUUGCUCGGAAUCACUGGGCGUAAAGGGUGCGUAGGCGGGUCUUUAAGUCAGGGGUGAAAUCCUGGAGCUCAACUCCAGAACUGCCUUUGAUACUGAGGAUCUUGAGUUCGGGAGAGGUGAGUGGAACUGCGAGUGUAGAGGUGAAAUUCGUAGAUAUCGCAAGAACACCAGUGGCGAAGGCGGCUCACUGGCCCGAUACUGACGCUGAGGCACGAAAGCGUGGGGAGCAAACAG
rnacentral:rRNA from 1 species